rnacentral:SRP_RNA from 1 species
GCGUGCUAGAUGGGGAGGUAGCGGUGCCCUGUAACCUGCAAUCCGCUCUAGCGGGAUCGAAAUCCGUACUGAGGUCAUCACCUUUUUCUUUCAAGGGCAUGGGCGUUCAUUUUUGAUAUCCGGGUCCUGUGCAAGUGCCGCCUGUGAACCCCGCCAGGACCGGAAGGUAGCAACGGUAAGCGGUAACGGUAUUGUGCUCGGGGCAACCUGGAAGGAGAUGAGACUCCUGCUUGCGAUAGAAGAAAAGAGAUCGAAGUACGGUGCACGC